CUACGGGGGGCUCCAGUGGGGAAUAUUGGACAAUGGGGGAAACCCCGAUCCAGCAAUGCCGCGUGUGUGAAGAAGGCCUGCGGGUUGUAAAGCACUUUCGGUUGGGAGGACUGCUUCUAGCACUAAUAUUGUUGGAAGUUGACGUUACCUUCAGAAGAAGCACCGGCUAACUCCGUGCCAGCAGCCGCGGUAAUACGGAGGGUGCAAGCGUGAAUCGGAAUUACUGGGCGUAAAGCGCGCGUAGGCGGCUAGAUCAGUCGGGUGUGAAAGCCCCGGGCUUAACCUGGAAACUGCAUCCGAUACUGUCUAGCUCGAGUACAGGAGAGGAGAGUGGAAUUCCACAUGUAGCGGUGAAAUGCGUAGAUAUGUGGAGGAACACCAAUGGCGAAGGCAGCUCUCUGGCCUGAUACUGACGCUGAGGUGCGAAAGCGUGGGGAGCAAACAGGAUUAGAUACCCGAGUAGUC
rnacentral:rRNA from 1 species